rnacentral:rRNA from 1 species
GAGUAAUACAUCGGAACGUGUCCUUAAGUGGGGAAUAACGCAUCGAAAGAUGUGCUAAUACCGCAUAUCUCUCAGGAGGAAAGCAGGGGAUCUAAAGACCUUGCGCUAAAGGAGCGGCUGAUGUCUGAUUAGCUAGUUGGUGGGGUAAAGGCUUACCAAGGCAACGAUCAGUAGCUGGUCUGAGAGGACGACCAACCACACUGGGACUGAGACACGGCCCAGACUCCUACGGGAGGCAGCAGUGGGGAAUUUUGGACAAUGGGCGAAAGCCUGAUCCAGCCAUGCCGCGUGAGUGAAGAAGGCCUUCGGGUUGUAAAGCUCUUUUAGUCGGAAAGAAAGAGUCAUACUAAAUAGCUAUGAUUUAUGACGGUACCGACAGAAAAAGCACCGGCUAACUACGUGCCAGC